rnacentral:rRNA from 1 species
CUAAGUAGCUGCAGGAAAAGAAAUCAACCGAGAUUCCCAAAGUAGUGGCGAGCGAAAUGGGAAGAGCCUGUACGUGAUAGUCAGCUUGAUAGAAGAACAGAUUGGGAACUCUGGCCAUAGCGGGUGAUAGCCCCGUAUUUAAAAUCAAGUUGGUGGUACUAAGCGUACGACAAGUAGGGCGGGACACGAGAAAUCCUGUCUGAAUAU